CUACAAGAACGAUGGGUCGCUAAUCCUGCUCGUCAUCCAGAGCCGUGCGGUGGCCGCCGGUGAGCACGCAUGGGAGCCAGCGAACACUACGCCUCCGCCUGGCCUGGGGCUCCUGGUGGACGGGCCAUCGUGGCCUCCAAGUGCUUUCUCACACUAGAUGGAGUGAUGAUGGUGCAGCGUCGUGACCGACACGUGGAGGAGCAGCAGCAGUGGCGGAUCUGUCCUCUGUUGCUUAAUGUUUCUUGGAAAUUACUCUACCAAGUGGUCCUUAGAAUAUGACCCUGCAGUAGCUACAACAUGAUAAGGACCAACUAAAGGUAAAACAUUUAUUCAGCAAGAUAAUACUGUCAUAUGCUUUCUGUGAUGACGGAUUGGCAUAGGAAAUUUAAAAUACUUGCACUCUUUCAUAAAUACUCCAUUCAUGGUGUAGAGUUGUAUAGGAAUUAUCUGCUGUUUGUUGAGUGUGUGUCUUGUUCCGUGACAGGACAACAAUAUAUAUAUUGUUCUGUUUGCUAUGGAUCUUGAACUUAACUGAUUAUUUGGUUUCUCUCUACUUUCCUGAGUUGGUAGUUCAGUUUUCACAGUUUACAUUGUAUAAUCGAUUCAUUCAUUCAAAUUGAUUGGGUCUAAUUUCUGACCGUUCAGGAAGUUGCUCUAAUUUCUGUCUGUAACUAAAUGCGAUUUAUGCAAACAGAGAUAUUUUGUAGAUACCAUUACCAUGAUUUUUAUUAUUGCUUGCUAAGUCUUGUAUACAUGCAAUGUACUUUACAAGUAAAGUACCUGCACGUUAUAUUGUG